AUGGUAGAAGGCUCGGACGCAGAUAUCACAAACCUGAAGUUCCUCCUCCUCUGUUUCCAACAAAUGUCUGGCCUCAAGAUCAACUUCGCCAAGAGUGAUGUGAUGGUCCUGGGCUACACCCCGACUCGGGCCCUUGACAUUGCCAACCGCCUUAACUGCCGCCUGGGCUCCUUCCCCACGACCUACUUGGGCACGCCCAUUAGUGACUCUCGGCUCACAGUUGCGGACUUGCGUCCGUCUGUGGCCAAGUUGCAGACUCGCAUUGAGCCUUGGCAGGGUAGAUGGUUGUCGAAGGCGGCUCAGACGAUUCUCAUCAACUCCUCCCUCUCCAGCCUCCUCUUGUUCCUCAUGAGCUUCUAUAACCUUCACGAGACCCUUCACCAUGAGAUCACCAAAAUCCAAUCUCGAUUCUAUUGGGCUGACGAUAAUAAUAAGCAGAAGUACCAUAUGGUUAGCUGGAUGGACAUCUGCAAGCCCUGGGAUAAAGGAGGCCUCGGUAUCAUGUGCUCUAAGCGCAUGAAUAUUGCCCUCCUUUCCCGCUGGCUUUGGCGCAUUUCGCAAGGGCAUGGCGGCCUAUGGUUGGACAUCAUCCGGAACAAGUACCUACGUGGGCCACCACUGGCCUUUUGUCAAAGGUCCAGCGGUUCCUAG
rnacentral:rRNA from 1 species